rnacentral:lncRNA from 1 species
GAACUGGGAGUGGCAAGAUGGGGCCCACGAUGACGCCAGCCCCUUCUCCAAGGAGGACUUCUCCGAGCCCCCGGCUGUGACAGCCCUGGACCGUUUCCUGGAGGCCAACAAGGCCGCACCCGCAGCCACAGCAACGGAAGCCCCGAGCAGGGGCGCUGCUGGAGGGGGCCCAUUCAGCAGCGCUGCCGCGGGCGCUGCCGCUGCAGGCGGAAGCGGUGUAUGCGUGAAGCGCCAGCGGAUGGAUGACGCAGGGGCGGACAUGCUGGGCAGCAGCCUGGGCAGCGGCGAAGAGCCGCCGCCUGUUGCGAAGAAGGUCAAGCUCAGGAGCAGCAUGCCGGGCGCGGGU